rnacentral:rRNA from 1 species
UUUCUUUGAGUCGAGUUGUUUGGGAAUGCAGCUCAAAKUAGGUGGUAAAUUCCAUCUAAAGCUAAAUAUUGGUGCAAGACCGAUAGCNAACAAGUACCGUGAGGGAAAGAUGAAAAGAACUUUGAAAAGAGAGUUAAAGAGUACCUGAAACUGUUGAAAGGGAACCGUAACAUGUCCAGUGUUGUAUCUCUUAUAUAUUUCAUUAGUACAGUAAUGCACUGGUGCCCUGUAUAAGAGUGUGACGUCAAAGUCAGUUUGUAUAUCGCGGGAGAUGGUUAGUAAGGAGGUGCGUCACUUUUGUGUCAGUUAUACCUUAUUAUCUAGUAGCCGUGGUUGAGACUGAGGUGCCUACAACAUGCUUUUCAAGUCUAUGUUUGUCUCGUUGUUCUAUUUGUUUGGAUAGCUUGCUAUGCUAAUGAACUAGAGUAGCGAUUGAUAGAUAUAGUAACUUGUUGCUGUUCGGGACUUUGACGAAAUGGUAUGUUACGACCCGUCUUGAAACACGGACCAAGGAGUCUAACAUGUAUGCAAGUAUUAGGGUGUGGAAACCCAAAUGCGUAAUGAAAGUAAAUGCUACCUGUGUAGCUUUGGUAGGAAAGGGCUGUCAUGGUCCUGGCACUAUCGACCGAUCAUGAACCUACGGGUGAAAGAUUUGAGUAUGAGCAUAUAUGUUGGUACCCGAAAGAUGGUGAACUAUGCCUGAAUAGAGUGAAGCCAGGGGAAACUCUGGUGGAAGCUCGUAGCGAUUYUGACGUGCAAAUCGAUCGUCAAAUUUGGGUAUAGGGGCGAAAGACUAAU